CUGGGCAAGAUGGUAAGAGAGCAUGUUUAAUACCAGAGUUAUUUUCCUCUUUGUCACUACCCCCCCACCGUCAACUUCACAGGAGCACCAAUAACCUUCACAGGUGAUAGGAUUCACAUACCUGGGAGGAGUGGAGAAAGGAAGAACCUACCCUAAUACUCCAGUAACAAACCCUGGCAGGGACAGUGGAAGCUGAACCUCCACCGUGAGUAGAUCUCAUCAGCAUCAGCUGCUCCUAGCAUAAAACAGCACAGUUUUCUUCCCAAGACAUCUUUCUGAUCAUUAGUGAUUGCUCCACGGGACUGAGUGGACACAAUUCUAAUCAGUAAAGAAGAACUUGGGAAUUCUUGCUGUCUGAUACCAUGAACUGGAGAGGAAGAAGUUCUGCUUUGGGCAUGUUAGAAACCUCUCAUGUUAACAGGAGUAUGAAAAGAGAGGAAGACAGCUGCUGGAUCUGGAAACUUUCAAAUGCAUAAUGAAACAGAGUAUGAGGUCACAGAAUAAAGUAAAUGGAUUUUAUAAACAGUGGAUCAUUGAAACCACGGUUAAAACUUUAACCAUAUGAACCAAUUAGGCUCAAUGAUCUGCCUGUGAGAUCACUCUCAGUUCUGAAUUGCAAUUUCUACUUAAAACCUAUCUGAUUUACUGAACAGUUUACAUGCGAAAAUAUAUUUAAAUUGCUUAGUACACUAGACCAACAAGAUAUUUAAAAACUUUUCUUAAGAAGAAGACUUUCACUACAUCACUGGUUGUAUAUGUGUUUUUGUCCAGAGUUUGGGCAUUUCCCUUACCCCAAUCUGCUGGAAUUAGGUAUUUUAAAUUUUUUCUCUACCAUCUUGGUUAGCCUAGAAUAUGAAAUCUUAAUGAAUAAGGUUGUACUCAUAUCAUAAAAUAAAAUACGUAUUAUAAAGGGAUAAGCUGUUUAAGCUCCAUUUGUUAAGGUUUCAUGACUGCUUAUGUCUUAAAUUAUAG